AAGAAACUUACAACAAAGAGUCCCUCCCGACUGUUUACCAAAAACACAGCACUCUGCUAACUCGUAAGAGGAUGUAUAGGGUGUGACGCCUGCCCGGUGCUCGAAGGUUAAUUGAUGGGGUUAGCAUUAGCGAAGCUCUUGAUCGAAGCCCGAGUAAACGGCGGCCGUAACUAUAACGGUCCUAAGGUAGCGAAAUUCCUUGUCGGUUAAAUACCGACCUGCAUGAAUGGCGUAACGAGAUGGGAGCUGUCUCAAAGAGGGAUCCAGUGAAAUUGUAGUGGAGGUGAAAAUUCCUCCUACCCGCGGCAAGACGGAAAGACCCCGUGGACCUUUACUACAGCUUGACACUGCUACUUGGAUAAGAAUGUGCAGGAUAGGUGGGAGGCUUUGAGUAUAUGACGCCAGUUGUAUAUGAGCCAUUGUUGAGAUACCACUCUUUCUUAUUUGGGUAGCUAACCAGCUUGAGUUAUCCUCAAGUGGGACAAUGUCUGGUGGGUAGUUUGACUGGGGCGGUCGCCUCCCAAAUAAUAACGGAGGCUUACAAAGGUUGGCUCAGAACGGUUGGAAAUCGUUCGUAGAGUAUAAAGGUAUAAGCCAGCUUAACUGCAAGACAUACAAGUCAAGCAGAGACGAAAGUCGGUCUUAGUGAUCCGGUGGUUCUGUGUGGAAGGGCCAUCGCUCAAAGGAUAAAAGGUACCCCGGGGAUAACAGGCUGAUCUCCCCCAAGAGCUCACAUCGACGGGGAGGUUUGGCACCUCGAUGUCGGCUCAUCGCAUCCUGGGGCUGGAGCAGGUCCCAAGGGUAUGGCUGUUCGCCAUUUAAAGCGGUACGCGAGCUGGGUUCAGAACGUCGUGAGACAGUUCGGUCCCUAUCUGCCGUGGGCGUAAGAAGAUUGAAGAGAUUUGACCCUAGUACGAGAGGACCGGGUUGAACAAACCACUGGUGUAGCUGUUGUUCUGCCAAGAGCAUCGCAGCGUAGCUAAGUUUGGAAAGGAUAAACGCUGAAAGCAUCUAAGCGUGAAGCCAACUCUAAGAUGAAUCUUCUCUAAGCUCUCUAGAAGACUACUAGUUUGAUAGGCUGGGUGUGUAAUGGAUGAAAGUCCUUUAGCUGACCAGUACUAAUAGAGCGUUUGGCUUAUCUUU
rnacentral:rRNA from 1 species